GCUCAGCCCGGGUCAUUCCCAUUUCUCAGCUGGCUGACCCCUUCCCUGUGCCCUGCCACUCGGUUCCAGCCUCAAAGAAGCUGCUCAUAGUCCUUGCUACAACCAUUUCUUUCAAUCCUGCCGCAUUACAGCAUUUUGCCAAAAAUAUGUCUAACCUCCAGAGCUUGGAAAACACCCUAGAACACUGCUGUGGGGAUAGACCAAAAAAUGGAUGGAAAGAGUGCAUCAAUCUCUUUAAUCAAAUUUUUUAGACUGCACGCAGAUCGUUAGCCAGAGAAAGGUCAUAACACCUCAAACCUGGCAAAGAGAAGCUGAAUUUGAUAUAUCCUAUUAUAAACCGAGUGCUGCACAGCUCCAUGGAUCUCUUUCUACUCAUGGGGGAAGAAGCAGGUAAAAAGUGACUUUAUUCAGUGACAUCAACAGAUGAAAAAUGUCUUGCUACAUUAUUCCUAUGCAAAGCAGCCUAAAGCAAUGUUCUACUGUUAAAUGGUAGUAUAUCUGUGAGAAGAAUAA